CCUACGGGGGGCAGCAGUGGGGAAUAUUGGACAAUGGGGGGAACCCUGAUCCAGCCAUGCCGCGUGUGUGAAGAAGGCCCUCGGGUUGUAAAGCACUUUCAGUGAGGAAGAACGCCUGGUGGUUAAUACCCAUCAGGAAAGAUAUCACUCACAGAAGAAGCACCGGCUAACUCCGUGCCAGCAGCCGCGGUAAUACGGAGGGUGCGAGCGUUAAUCGGAAUUACUGGGCGUAAAGCGCGCGUAGGUGGCUUGAUAAGCCGGUUGUGAAAGCCCCGGGCUCAACCUGGGAACGGCAUCCGGAACUGUCAAGCUAGAGUGCAGGAGAGGAAGGUAGAAUUCCCGGUGUAGCGGUGAAAUGCGUAGAGAUCGGGAGGAAUACCAGUGGCGAAGGCGGCCUUCUGGACUGACACUGACACUGAGGUGCGAAAGCGUGGGUAGCAAACAGGAUUAGAUACCCCAGUAGUC
rnacentral:rRNA from 1 species